UCUCUCUAGAUUGGUAAAGAUCUUCUUUCAUGUGUGUCUUUAUUUAUUUAUUUAUUUAUUAUAAAUUUCUAACUCUCAUGAGGACAGCGACCCAUCAUCUUUCAUCCUCUUCUAUAAAAUCCCAGUUUUCCCUUCCGUGAUUUUUGCUUCUCCCUUUCCUUUUCCCCAUUUUCAACAUUAAUUUCCAUUUACCCUCUUGUUUUUUACUCCAUCCAGUAUUUCGUACUUGUUUGCUUUCGUAAUUUGGUUCUUCAGGGUCAUCAAUCUCUGUAAAAGCUCCACAAAGCAGCUUCAAUGGCGGUCGGACCCAUCAUACCCACAAGUUCUCUUCUGCGCCUUAACAUCUAGCAAAUUCUUACAUACUAUUUUCAAGAACACCCGAGGCCAGUUUUGAAACUUCUGUUGAUGCACUUCAGAAUCACUUAUAAGAUUCAUGUCGCUUGGGUUUUGUUUAGGGGUUCACCUCUAUAUAACUGUGCAAUUUAACUACUUUCAGAUAAAAGACUUGUUGUAAUGUCUUAUGAUUA